GACGAACGCUGGCGGCGUGCUUAACACAUGCAAGUCGAACGGAAAGGCGAUGCUCUUGUGGGGUUCUCGUGAGGCGAACGGGGGAGUAACACGUGAGUAACCUGUCCUUAACAUUGGGAUAACACUUGGAAAAAGGGGAUAAAACAGGAUAGGAUCUAUUGCUGCACGGUGGGGGAUGGAAAGUUACGGCGGUGGGGGCUGGAUUAGAGGGUUAUCAGCUUGUUGGUGUGGUAGUGGCUUACAAAGGCUUUGACGGGUAGCCGGCCUGAGAGGGUGACCGGCGACAUGGGGACUGAGGUACGGCGCAGUCGCCAACGGGAGGCAGCGGUGGGAAAUAUGACGCAGUGGGCGGAAGCCUGAUGCGGCAACCCCGCGUGCGUAAUGACGGCCUUCGGGGUGUAAACCGCUUUCGACUGUGACGAAGCGUUAGUGACGGUAAUGAGUAAAGAAGCACCGGCUAACUACGUG
rnacentral:rRNA from 1 species